CUGUCUCAUGGAAUUCAAAUGCUGCUACCUCUCUUCAUAUUGUGUUCUGAUCAAGAACAAACAUACCAUUUUUUGGUUUGGUUUUGUUGGCUUCCUAAGUAACUUUGAGAGGACAAGAUAGAGAUUUUCUCAGCAUCAUUUCUGCUUUAAAGGAUCCAGAGAACAGACGAAUGAGCCCGUCUUCCUGACCUAUGCGCUAUGCAGUAAGUGCCACAUGGGAGUGUUGAGCAGUGGGACGGAGAAGUGACAGCUCAGAGCCAGGUCCUGGAAGGAACUCUGAAGCUUGGCACCAUGGAAAACCACAGGAGUUUUGCUUGAAAAAUCUGACAUUUCAAUUAAUGCCUAAUCAAGUAGGAUGCUGGACUCUGAAGACUUUUGUUAUGAGUUCUUUCGAAGUUUAUUUUCUAUUAACUGUGCAUAUGAAAUUUCCACUCAAUUAAAAAAAAAUCUGGAUUUUUUUUUUUUAACUUCUUGGAACAAUUUCCUCAUGGUUAUAUUGAUCACUGCACUUCUAGGAAAAGUGCUGGCAAGCCACUCUUAUUUUUUGAUUAUAGAUGGUUCCUAUUCCCAUAGAACUUUGUUUGGCAAAUUGUGAAGAAAAUCACUAUAGGCGAUUCUUUAUGUCUUUGGCUUGACUACAUCCUGAGAACUUCUGGCAAAUGCAGAUCUGAGCUCCUGUGGCCCUUCAGGCAUCUCCUGCUUUCUGGAUCUGCAGUUGACACCUGGCUUCUUCCUUCUGACCUGGCUGGCUCCCCUCAUUUCCCCCUAUUAUUUUAAAGUUGAGUAAUACAUGCAUCUAUGAUUUUUUUUUUGAGAAAUGUCAAAGUGGGAACUUCAAAAGGAAAAGAUUACAGUGACAUCCGUAUUCCCACAGUUGUCAGUCUCUUUAGUUAAUGGUUUAGAGUCCUUCUUUUAUGUAUGUUUGGGGUCUGUGUGUGUGUGUGUGUGCAAGUAUGUGG
rnacentral:lncRNA from 1 species